rnacentral:rRNA from 1 species
GAUGAACGCUGGCGGCGUGCCUAAUACAUGCAAGUCGAGCGAACGGACGAGAAGCUUGCUUUUCUGAUGUUAGCGGCGGACGGGUGAGUAACACGUGGAUAACCUACCUAUAAGACUGGGAUAACUUCGGGAAACCGGAGCUAAUACCGGAUAAUAUUUUGAACCGCAUGGUUCAAAAGUGAAAGACGGUCUUGCUGUCACUUAUAGAUGGAUCCGCGCUGCAUUAGCUAGUUGGUAAGGUAACGGCUUACCAAGGCAACGAUGCAUAGCCGACCUGAGAGACGGAUCGGCCACCCGGGAACUGAGACACGGUCCAUAGGACUGAGGGAGGGAGCAGAAGCGAACGUUAGGCAACAGUCGAAAGCAUGACGGAGCAAGGCCGAGCGAGAGAUGAAGGUCUUCGGAUCGUAAAAAUGUGUUACUAGGGAAGAACAGAUGUGUAAGGAAACGUGCACAUAUUGACGGUAACUAAUAAGAAAGCACCGGCUAACUACGUG